GAUUUUCAUCCUUGAUUUUGAAAUGAGAAAAGCUCAAGCUUAAGAAAACAGAAUUGUAUACCAGGAGAAGCCAUGAUCUACUGUCAGAAAAGACAAAGUCAUACAUGCUUUCAACUUUCUUCAGUGACAAUAUCCCGUGUAAACUUUCCCCUCCUUUCCUCGGUUGUGUCCUCCUUCGUUGAAGAAUGAUCAAUUUUCUCAGUGCUUGGAAAGCAAAAACUCUUCACAAUUGACUUUCAUCGCAGGUGAAACAUUUUCGCCAUUGCCUUGUACUUUUCUUAUGAGCCAAUUCAAAUAGACUCCACCUCUUUCUGCGUUUAGGGGUUUGACAAAAGAGGAAUAACUCAAAUUCCUCUUCAUCUUCAUCAAUCAUUUCAGUAUCCAAAUCCCAAGGAAACCUGCUUGACUUGGAUCUGUGUCGUCUUCUCCAAUCCAAUCAUGUCUACAUGAAUGCUUGUUUGGGUUUUUUUUUU
rnacentral:lncRNA from 1 species